CGCGGGCGGGACGGCGGCGGGGGCUGCCCGGAGCCGGCGGAGGCGCGGCCGCCCCGGAGGGCUGUGCGCCGUUGGGCCGCAGGAUGAAGAAGCCAACCCUCCUGAGGGGGAAGAUGAGGAGAAGUGGAAGGAUGGAGACAGCAGCCACCAAAGGCUGGGGAAGGCACAGAGCCAGUAGCUGACAUGACAUUUACAGACACAGCAACAGCACACUUUUCCUGCUGCUACUGGACUUCACAAUUUUGCAAGCUGUCAAUCAGUGAUCUUUGCAACUAAAGUCAGAGCUUCAGCAUUUCUCAUCAAAUGAAUGUCCUCAGAAGAAAACUUUGCUGCAUACUCUAUAUGACUGAAGAAUGGAUGAUCAUGAGUUAGCAUCACAAUCAUUUCAGCACAGAGCCUAUACUUUAGCAGGGAAAAAAAAUUCAAAGAAGAACUAUUUGAUGCAACAACAUAGCUGAGAAACAAAACAACGAGGAUCUUCCAAACGGUUCCCUGCAGUAGAAAUGUACUUGUAUGAAUACAGAAGAUAAAAGAUGUGGUUUGG